rnacentral:lncRNA from 1 species
CUGGUGUUCUAUAUUGGAAAUCACAAUACAACAAGAAAGUGAAGAUACAGGUUUAAAAUAUGAACAAUACUUUGUAUGAAUGAAUGGUUGUUACCUUUACUGGCAAAUUAAAUGCAUAUUCAUGAUGUGAUAUGGCAUUAAGUAUAAAAUCUGCUAUGUACUAGACCAACAUGUUGAGCUGGAUUUUUAUUGUGCUAGUUUCCAAGGUAAGUCAACAGGAAUGCCACCCUACACAGAAACAUUAUUUUGACUCAAGUUCUUUGCUCCUCUUGAAUGCCAAUUGCUUAACACAGAAGCAACAAAACAGAUUUCCUUGUCUUUGGUUUGAACCAGCAGGGGUUCUAAUCCACAACCUCUGGCACUCAAGUUGAACAUCAUUACACCGGAACCACUAAGGCGGUCAUAUAGCUUUGUAACAUUGAUUAAUAGAAAACUUUAAAUACCUUUAAUAACAUACUUUUACAAAUUGUAACUUGGAUGGAGAGUUGUCUCAUUGGCACUCAUACCACAUCUUCUUAUAUCUACUACUUGGAUUUAGGGACAGGGUGCAUUUAAGUGGUGGAUCUUUCUCAAAUAGCCUAGUUUAAAACAUUUUCUUUAACAAGUCCUGAAUUACAAUAUAAUUUGGACAAAAUACUCUGACCAUAUG